rnacentral:rRNA from 1 species
UACCAGCACCCCGAGUGGUCGGGACGAUUAUUGGGCCUAAAGCAUCCGUAGCCGGUUCUACAAGUCUUCCGUUAAAUCCACCUGCUCAACAGAUGGGCUACGGAGGAUACUAUAGAGCUAGGAGGCGGGAGAGGCAAGCGGUACUUAGUGGGUAGGGGUAAAAUCCGUUGAUCCAUUGAAGACCACCAGUGGCGAAGGCGGCUUGCCAGAACGCACUCGACGGUGAGGGAUGAAAGCUGGGGGAGCAAACCGG